rnacentral:tRNA from 1 species
AUUUAAGUAAUUUAAUUAAAAUUUUGGUUUGUGGUAUCAAAUAUGUAAUAUCUUAUUACCUUAAAUU